rnacentral:rRNA from 1 species
CCUACGGGAGGCAGCAGUGGGGAAUCUUGCACAAUGGGGGAAACCCUGAUGCAGCGACGCCGCGUGAGUGAAGAAGUAUUUCGGUAUGUAAAGCUCUAUCAGCAGGGAAGAAAAUGACGGUAACUGACUAAGAAGCCCCGGCCAACUACGUGCCAGCAGCCGCGGUAAUACUUAGGGGGCAAGCGUUAUCCGGAUUUACUGGGAGUAAAGGGAGCGUAGACGGCAGCACAAGUCUGAAGUGAAAGGCCGGGGCUCAACCGCGGAACUGCUUUGGAAACUGGCCAGCUAGAGUGCAGGAGAGGUGAGUGGAAUUCCUAGUGUAGCGGUGAAAUGCGUAGAUAUUAGGAGGAACACCAGUGGCGAAGGCGGCUUACUGGACUGUAACUGACGUUGAGGCUCGAAAGCGUGGGGAGCAAACAGGAUUAGAUACCCCGGUAGUC